GCCUUCCCGGUGAGUCUGCGGGCUUAAACGGACGCGGUAAAGCGUGCUAAGGUAGCUAAAUUAUGGCCUAUUAAUUGUAGGUCCUGUGAAUGGUUUGACGAGUCUUCAACUGUCUCUAGUUUUUUUGGUGAACUUGAAUUGGAUGUGCAAAUGCUUCCAUGGGUAAGAAAGACGAGAAGACCCCGUGAAGUUAGAAAUUUUGGUUGUUGGUGAGCUUUGUUGGGUGUAGGUUAGGCCGCUUUAAGUGGUUUGAAAGAAAAGUGAACAGCGAUAGUUUUGGCUGGGGCAGCAAAGAAGCAAGGUUAGACUUCUUUAGUUUAAGGACAGGUGUGUGACGACCCACAAGUUUGUUGGUGUGAUUAGCAGAAGAAGUUACUCCGGGGAUAACA
rnacentral:rRNA from 1 species